UUUUUUUUUUUUUUUUUUUCCUUCCCCCUCCAUAAACAAGUGAUUAAUGCCUUGCAAAAAGGCACAGACACACCUUCCCCACAGCAAGGGAGCCCCUGCCAGAUUCCCCAGCCUUAAUUCUGCUGUUAACACCCCUCAGGGGGAGGGGUGAAGAGUAAAUCCCCUCCUGCAAGAAGCAGACCUGCGGGCAAUGUGGUUUGUUUAAAGUCUCUGAGCUGAGCCACCGACCUCCCAUUUGCUCUGAUGACGUGAGUACUUCAAAAAGAAAAAGAAAAAAACAAAAAAAAAAACCCAACUCAUCUUUACCUAAGGCAGCACCCAGUUUGUAAAUGUCUCUGCAUAGGACCCUCCCAAAUGGACAUGACCAUGGCAGAAUUUUCCCUUCCUUCUCCCAGCGCCAGUGAACAGAGGGGGGAGCUCCAUGAAUCAACAUUUUCAGAGAGUUUCACAGGCUCCUUUUUCCAUUGAGUUUGCAAGGGGCAUCUUGACUGAAUUAAGAAAUAAAUUCCUGACGAACUUGUGCACACUUUUGGACAAUGAACGAACUGAACACUGAGUGCAAGAAGAAAUCUUAGGCACAUUUAUUUAUUUAUUAUUUAUUUUUUAUUUAUUUUUUGUUUGUUUUUUUUUUGUCUUUUUGUCUUUUCUAGGGCCUCUCCCUUGGCACAUGGAGGUUCCCAGAAAAAGCAAAAAGACAAAAAAUAAAAAAGAAAAGAAAAGUUUGGAAACCAUUAGCCUAGACCAUGAAAACCAGUAGACAUUUAAUCCCUGCUCUGCCAAAUGUAGCCAAAGAGCAGGUUGGCCAAAGAGGAACAAUGAAAUCUAACAUUUACUGGGCACCAGUUCUGUGGCAAGGAUUAGAAUAAAUUCUCUCUCCUGAGUGAUCUUGUCUUUCCUGUUCAUCAGCUGUGAGAGACUAAUAGGACUGGCUCCAUUUUUAUGGAUAAGGAAACUGAGGCCCCGAGAGGCACGAUCUGGUGCCAAAACAAGAAUAGUCACUGAUGAGCUAAGACAUCUAGCCAUUAGGAGUUUUUUCUCUGUGACCUUGGAACAAUUACUUUUCCUCUCUGAGCCUUAGUCUCCCCAGUCUUAGAGGACUGGGCUAAGGAUUCAUUGGGUCCAUUGUAACUCUUUGGUCUUCAUCCCCCUCCUCCAUGACCUUCCUGUUGCUUCCUUUCUUCUGUCUUCCCAGGAAUGUGUCAGAGGCAGCCUGGUAUGGCAGAAAGAGAACCUGAGUACUGAGUUCCAAUUCUAAUCCUGUCUUACGCAGACCCUGGUGAAUCACUUAACCUCUCUGAGCCUCACUUUCCCCAACAAUAAAAUGGGGAGGAAAAGAAGAACUACCUUUGAGCAUUGCUGGGAUGAUGGAGUCGAUGAAUGGAGUGCCCAGUCCAGCAGGCGCGAUAUAGCAGGUGUUCAAGUAAAGGUGCAUUCUCUGCACUGCUUUCUCUCAACUUCCCCAGUCACCCCCAUGGCUUGGUUCAUCCCCCUUCCCCGGGCUCGGCUGAAAUGUCACCUUCUCAGUGAGGCCUCCUCUGACCACCCUUUAAAACUAAAUGCCUUUGGCGUUGAUAGAUGCAACCUGUUGCAUUUGGAGUGGAUGGGCAAUGAGACCCUGCUGUAAAGCACAGGAAACUAUAUCUAGUCACUUGCGAUGAAGCAUGAUGGAGGAUAAUGUGAGAAAAAGAAUGUGUGUGUGUGUGUGUGUGUGUGUGUGUGUGUGUGUGUGUGUAUGACUGGGUCACUUUGCUGUACCACAGAAAUUGGCAGAACAUUGUAAAUCAACUAGAAUAGAAAACAAUAAAAAUCUUUAAAAAAAUAAAUAAAUAAAACUAAACCCUACGAUCCCCCAUUUACAACUCCAUUUUCUGAUUUACUUUUUUCUGUGAGACUCAUCACCACCAAACAUUUAUUUUUCCUGUUUAUUGUGCUUCUCAUUAUUCUCUCCCCUCCUGGAAAGGCCUUGGGAAUCAGUCAUUUUUACGUGCCUGGCUUGCUGCUGUUUUCUUAGCCUAAGAGACAUAGUGGGUCCUUGUAGAUAUUUGCUGAAUGAAAAUGAGAUGAAUGAAUGAAUAUUUGAUCUGGUAAUGAUACCUUCAGAUAAUGCAGGAAAAGCACAGGGCAUCGGUCUUGCACAGAGUAGCUGGGCCAUAAAUGCUCUUGUUCUUGUUUUAUUGGGACCCCAGAAUCCGCUGAGGUUACCCUGUUCAACUUUAAGCUAUACUCGAUUUACCUGAGGAUGUUUCAACAGUUUCCAGCUUUCUUAUUUCUAUUAUCCCUUAAACAGACCUCCAAGUGCCUGUCCCAGUAGCUCAGAGUUCUCUAAGCUGUAUUUCACCAAAGGCUGUAACUGUUACUGUCCCAGGGCCAUUUGCAACUUUCCUUUCCUGAGCACAGAGGUUUGACUAAGCACUUUGUUUAAAGGCAGGAAAUGCAUCAGCUCCCUGUCUUAAUCUUUUUGAAGCGGUUACCCAGGGCUAAGGUCGGGCUUGUCUACAGAUGCUUUGUGCCAAAAGAGUGCCACAGGUAUUAUGGUGUCGGUGAAGAAGAAAAAGCAGUCAUUCUUUAGGUGGGAAUGAAUUCUUUAUGUUUCAGAGGGGGCAGAGCUGCCCAGAACAUCACCCUAGAGGUGGAGCAUGGGUGUGUUAGGAUGGGGGUACUGACAGACACUUUGGGGAGAAACUUGCCCUCUCUGAGCCAAACCAUCCCAAGCCAGGCCUUGCUCCCCUCUGGGCCUGCUGAGAAUUAUUCCUUGAAACGUUGUUGAUAAUGGCUUUCCUCUCUGUGCUAGCACGAGGUAUCUGCUGAGGGACAUCCAGGGAUCAAACCCGCAUCCAUAGACAUGGAUACUAUGUCAGAUUCUUAACCCGCUGAGCCACAAUGAGAACUCCUGCUUUUAUAUUUUUAAUAUUGCUUUUAUUCAAAAUUGUAAUCUUAGACCAAGAAGAGAAUUUUGAGGCGGUAUCCACAGGCUUCAUGAGAUUGUCCAAAGCAUCUGUGAUCCAAAAAGGUGGUGAAGCCAUUCUUGGUGAUGGAGAAGAGGAAGGGAGGCCUUGAGCCAUGAUUCUGGGGCUCAGGGAGUUGCAGAGCUUAGAAACCCAAAGUGGGAACACAGGAUCCUUGAUAUGGUGACACCAUUAAAAAGCUUUAGGAAAGCACACUGAGCAGUAUUCUCCAAAAAUGUCAAAAGGGGAGUUCCCUGUGGGCCUAGCAGUGAAGGAUCCAGCAUUGUCACUGCUAUGGUGUAAGUUUGAUGCCUGGCCCAGGAACUUUCACAUGUCACUGGUAGAGCCAAACCCACUCCCCCUCCAAAAUGUCCAAAGGGGUUCCAGGGUGGAAGCAGAACAUAGCUUUUUGUUUAUUUAUUUUAGAGCUGAACCUGCGACCUAUGGAGGGUCCCAGGCUAGGGGUUGAAUUGGAACUGCAGUUGCCGGCCUACACCACAGCCACAGCAGUGCCAGAUCUUUAACCCACUCAGAGAGGCCAGGGAGCGAACCC
rnacentral:lncRNA from 1 species